UACGAAGGGGGCUAGCGUUGUUCGGAAUUACUGGGCGUAAAGCGCGCGUAGGCGGUGAUCUUUGUCAGAGGUGAAAUCCCGAGGCUCAACUUCGGAAUUGCCUUUGAAACGGGAUCGCUUGAGUCCGAGAGAGGAUGGCGGAAUUCCUAGUGUAGAGGUGAAAUUCGUAGAUAUUAGGAAGAACACCGGUGGCGAAGGCGGCCAUCUGGCUCGGUACUGACGCUCAGGCGCGAAAGCGUGGGGAGCAACAGG
rnacentral:rRNA from 1 species